GUCCCUGUAGCGCAAUGGAUAGCGCAUUGGACUUCUAAUCCAAAGGUCGUGGGUUCGAAUCCUACCUGGGAUA
rnacentral:tRNA from 1 species